CUUUCCCUCUGAAAAAAUUCGAUUUCCAGGAUAUUGUAUAUAAUUUGCGGGCGUCAGGGAGCCGCUAUCAAUAUGCGGGACACUCCCAGAACUUCCAGGAGAGUCCAAAAGCACAACUGAAUUCUGGAAUGAGCUGAAUUAAGCAAGACAAAUGCAUAGACCUGUUUUUAGAAAGGACUGUAGCAAUUCCUCACUCCUAACUCCAAUCCAAUGAGGUAGAAGCUGAAACUCAUUUAUUUAGAAGCAAUGAUUCGAAUGUUGCAAGUUCUACAACUAUAAAAUCCUG